ensembl:lncRNA
GCCGUGCUGAACAGGAGGCUUCCAGGAUGUUCUGAUGGCUGCCAUUUCCCAGCAGAGGUGGACAUUGUUCCCAGGGGCAAGACCUUCAAGCUGUGGACCCCAGCCGAGCUCACAGCCCACAGACCAGACACAAUCAAGUUGGUUGUGUCUCUUGCCAGGGAGAUGAAUGACGUGUCCAGCUGGGAGCCCAGGGCUCACACUUGAAAAACAGAAGUUACACAACAAAGCUUCCUCCGCUAUUAAUACUGAGCAGGUGAACAAGUCAAGAGACACAGAUGGUAUGGAGCCGUCGACAGCAGUGUGUGUCGUCUGUGUCUACACUUCCACAGGAAACAAUUACUAGGGCCCAGGUUCAACCCCUGGUGAAGGAACUGAGAUCCUGCGUGCUGCAACUGAGACCAGGCACAG